UCCAGUUUAUCACCGGCAGUCUCCCUAGAGUGCCCAGCUUUACCUGAUGGCAACUAAGGACAAAGGUUGCGCUCGUUGCGGGACUUAACCCAACACUUCACAGCACGAGCUGACGACAGCCAUGCAGCACCUGUGUAAUUGUCUCUUGCGAGAAGACCCACUUUCAUGGGCUGUCAACUACAUGUCAAACCUGGGUAAGGUUCUUCGCGUAGCCUCGAAUUAAACCACAUGCUCCACCGCUUGUGCGGGUCCCCGUCAAUUUCUUUGAGUUUCAGUCUUGCGACCGUACUCCCCAGGUGGUGGAUUUAAUGAGUUAUCGUCGGCGCUGAGAGGAUCAACACUCCCAACACCUAAUCCACAUCGUUUACGGCAAGGACUAC
rnacentral:misc_RNA from 1 species